CAAGUUGAUGCCGUGUCAGCUUAAGCACGCUCGCCGCGAAUGCGUCGCGCUAACUGGAUGUCUUUGGGCAUAGUGGUGACACGCUUGGCAUGAAUAGAU
rnacentral:sRNA from 1 species